GCCAGCGUAGCUCAGUUGGCAGAGCAACGGUUUCGUAAACCGUAGGUCAAGAGUUCGACCCUCUUCGCUGGCUCCA
rnacentral:tRNA from 1 species